CUACGGGUCGCAGCAGUGGGGAAUAUUGCACAAUGGGCGCAAGCCUGAUGCAGCCAUGCCGCGUGUAUGAAGAAGGCCUUCGGGUUGUAAAGUACUUUCAGCGGGGAGGAAGGGAGUAAAGUUAAUACCUUUGCUCAUUGACGUUACCCGCAGAAGAAGCACCGGCUAACUCCGUGCCAGCAGCCGCGGUAAUACGGAGGGUGCAAGCGUUAAUCGGAAUUACUGGGCGUAAAGCGCACGCAGGCGGUUUGUUAAGUCAGAUGUGAAAUCCCCGGGCUCAACCUGGGAACUGCAUCUGAUACUGGCAAGCUUGAGUCUCGUAGAGGGGGGUAGAAUUCCAGGUGUAGCGGUGAAAUGCGUAGAGAUCUGGAGGAAUACCGGUGGCGAAGGCGGCCCCCUGGACGAAGACUGACGCUCAGGUGCGAAAGCGUGGGGAGCAAACAGGAUUAGAUACCCGAGUAGUC
rnacentral:rRNA from 1 species